GAAAAAGCAUGCAAGAACUGCUAAUUCUAUGCUCCCAUGUAUAACAACAUGGCUUUUUCGA
rnacentral:tRNA from 1 species